GACGAACGCUGGCGGCGUGCUUAACACAUGCAAGUCGAACGGAAAGGCCCUGCUUUUGUGGGGUGCUCGAGUGGCGAACGGGUGAGUAACACGUGAGUAACCUGCCCUUGACUUUGGGAUAACUUCAGGAAACUGGGGCUAAUACCGGAUAGGAGCUCCUGCUGCAUGGUGUGGGUUGGAAAGUUUCGGCGGUUGGGGAUGGACUCGCGGCUUAUCAGCUUGUUGGUGGGGUAGUGGCUUACCAAGGCUUUGACGGGUAGCCGGCCUGAGAGGGUGACCGGCCACAUUGGGACUGAGAGACGGACCAGAAUCCUACGGGAGGCAGCAGGGGGGAAUAUUGCACAAUGGGCGGAAGCCUGAUGCAGCAACGCCGCGUGCGGGAUGACGGCCUUCGGGGUGUAAACCGAUUUCGCCUGUGACGAAGAGUGAGUGACGGUAAUGGGUAAAGAAGCACCGGCUAACUACGUG
rnacentral:rRNA from 1 species